GACUCCGUCUCCCAUAAGGCACUGGGCCUUCUGCACCCGAACCCAAUAAUUAGAGGCCAUUUCACAUGGCGCCCACUCAGAGUUGUCAGGGCCCAAGAACAGGCUCCAGAUGUUGGCUGGAAAAAGGCGAGGACCAGCUGCCCGAGCUCUAAGGCCUGGGCGCUCUUUGGCGAGCCGCCCCUCCCCCGCCUCGGGCACCAUCAGAGAGAGAUCAGUGAAACAUCUAUGGGGAGCUGGAAGAUAAUUGAUGCAUCUUGGAGCCUCAUCACAGGAAGAAGCAUCUAUUAAUAUUUUCAGGGGUCCAUGGAUAUGAACAAGUCAAGCACCCAUGAAAAGUAGAAAGGAUUGGAAAAUUUGGGGAAUCAAAAGAUACGAAAGAAGAAUGGAGAACACCUUGAAUGAAUUCAAUAUAUGGACUCUGCUUAAUCUGACUCUCUUCCUUCUUCCUACAUUCUUUUGUUGGAAUUGUGGUUACUCUCUAUACUUGGAUAAGUGAAGUGUCAGCAUCUGCAACCCUUUCAGGAAAGAUGAAGAAACUCAGAAAUACAACUAUCAGCCGAAUAAGUAGAAUUUGCUGCCUGGGAGAACUUAGCAAUUUUUGUAGCGAAGGAGCAGAUGCAUGUUGAAUGGUUGAUAUUUCUCAAGAAGUGUGAUGCAGACACAGGAUAAAUGUUUUGUGUGUACAUGCUUCUUUGUGUCUGUGAGUGUGCAUGCACUAACAUGUUCUCCCGGUAAAGAUGACAUGAUUGCUAAACUCUUGAUCUAGUGAUUCGCUGGAAGGAUCAUUGGUUGUGAAAUGAGAAGACGUAGGUUGAAAUCUCCCAUCCCAUACAUACUUUCUGUCUCU
rnacentral:lncRNA from 1 species